rnacentral:misc_RNA from 1 species
AAAUGCGCUAAGUAAUGUGAAUUGCAGAAUCCAGUGAAUCAUCGAAUCUUUGAACGCACAUUGCGCCCGCCAGCAUUCUGGCGGGCAUGCCUGUUCGAGCGUCAUUUCAACCCUCGACCUCCCCUUGGGGAGGUCGGCGUUGGGGACCGGCAGCACACCGCCGGCCCUGAAAUGGAGUGGCGGCCCGUCCGCGGCGACCUCUGCGUAGUAAUACAGCUCGCACCGGAACCCCGACGCGGCCACGCCGUAAAACACCCAACUUCUGAACGUUGACCUCGAACCAGGUAGGACUACCCGCUGAACUUAAGC